rnacentral:rRNA from 1 species
GAUGAACGUUGGCGGCGUGCCUAAUACAUGCAAGUCGAACGAAGACUGUAGUAAUACUGUCUUAGUGGUGAACGGGUGAGUAACGCGUGGGUGACCUGCCCCGAAGUGUGGGAUAACAGUCCGAAAGGAUUGCUAAUACUGCAUAAUAUCCAAGAGAUUAGAUGCUUUUGGAUUAAAGGAGUAAUUCGCUUCGGGAGGGGCCCGCGUCCCAUCAGCUAGUUGGUAAGGUAAUGGCUUACCAAGGCGAUGACGGGUAGGGGACCUGAGAGGGUGGCCCCCCACAAUGGAACUGAAACACGGUCCAUACACCUACGGGUGGCAGCAGUAGGGAAUAUUAGUAAUGGGCGAAAGCCUGAACUAGCAACGCCGCGUGUGCGAAGAAGGCCUUCGGGUUGUAAAGCACUUUUUGAGAGGAUGAGGAAGGACGGUACUCUCAGAAUAAGUCUCGGCUAACUACGUG